ensembl:lncRNA
AGUGCCCUGCCAUCUGUGUGUGCAGUGUGCAGCUUUUCCUCCUCCUCUUUCACACGUUCAGGUUGUCCCCCAAGCCCCUGCUUCCUGGUCCUCCUCCCAGGGUGUUUUCUUAGAACAGCGGCAGCACGCAAGGACAAGAUGAAGUAUAGAAAAUGCUGAAGGCCAAACCACAUCACUUGCACCUCUGUAACAUUCUUCAGAAGCAUUAGCACAAGACAGACCACCGUGAGGAUGGAGUUAUACCUUGAGAAAACUAAUACAGCAAUGAAACUCAUGAAGAAUGCUAACAUCAUGGUUCUGUAAAUGUUUAUAUUCAAGACUUAUACGCAAACGACUAAUCCCAGGAUUUUCACAGGAGUUUGAAGGAGCCUAUUGAGGACAUAGACACUAAUUCCAGCCAAGCUACUGAAGAAAUCAUAACUGCCCAGAGAUUCAUCAGUCUGCUUUUGAUGAACAUCAUCAUUUGUAAUAAAAUGCAAGCACUGGAACUUCCGAAUCACUACAGGAAAAAGAUCCAUCAAAUCGUUGCCAACAUUCUCGUCUUCCUCUUCUCUCUGCAAUGGAUUUCUAUUACAGACUUGGAAUGCAUUCUACUCUGAAAACACCCCAUUGAUGUCAAGAUCUCUCCAGCAUAUUAAACAAGUGCAAGGCAAAGAAGAAAGAAGCACAGCAUUGUUCUGUAGUUUUGCAUAUUCUUGUGGCAGUGUCCUACUUUUUUAAGAAGCUGGAAUUGCCAACAAGUGGCCCCAAACUUCCAGGGUGACCAAUCUGCAAUUUUUACAUCUUAUUUUCCUCUCUGCAAUAUAUCUUAUUAUAUAUUACCAUGGUGAUAAUGGUGUGCUCUUGUUUUGAACUGCAGUGAAAUCCAAGAAGAAUGUUUCAGAACAAUAUUUCUGUGAGUUUUAAAACUACAGCACUUUUAAGCUGUGCAAUGCCUAUUAUUCUACGUACAUAUCUCCCCAAACUGUCAACACCUUCUUAUUCAGCUGUGACAGAUUUGAUCCUGAACUGUGCGAACAAUUAGCAUUUAGUGUGUUCUGAGAACACCUGACUUCCACCAACACAAUUAUAAUGGCUCAGCACCAAAAUCCAUGCUCUGCUUUUAUCCAUUUUAAAGGACUAACCCAGAACAGCAUUACUGUGCCUUUUUGAGGCCUUUAACCAACGUGCAACUUAUUGGUUGCAAAACAAACAUACUUCAUCCAAUGGCACAAAUGCAGACCGCUCUGACAAUGAUGAAACACAUACAAGGAACUAGUAUCAACCCACAAUUCAAUGAAGGUAUAAAAUGAUGCCUACAAUUAAAACUGAAAAUUCCCGAGUUUUGAUUCUGUCUACUUAGCUGAUCUUGGAGAGUCCAAAGUGGUGUGAAAGUGAUGGAGGUAAACCCAUGGAUGGAACUCAAACUUCAGAUGGACUUCAUGAAAUGAUUUUCAAUUGUAAAUAACAAUAAAAAUGCUUACUUUUUCCUGUAAAAUGCCAGAACAAGCCUUUUUAAAAAAUGCCUUGUCAUCAUAAAUGCUGGAAAGCUUUCUGAUUAAAAAUGACUGCAUUC